CUAGUUGGGGGGUAAGACCCCCCAAGCGACGAUCGUAGCUGUCUGAAAGACGGUCAGCCCCCCUGGACUGAGACCGGCCCAGCUCAUCCGGAGGCAGCAGUGGGAAUUUUCCGCAAUGGCGAAAGCCUGCCGAGCAAGACCCCUGGGGGAAGAAGGCUCUUGGGUUGAAACUCCUUUUCUCUGGGAAGAACAAAAUGACGGUACCAGAGGAAUCAGCAUCGGCUAACUCGUGCCAGCAGCCGCGGUAAGACGGAGGAUGCAAGCGUUAUCCGGAAUGAUUGGGCGUAAAGCGUCCGCAGGUGGCAGCUCAAGUCUGCUGUCAAAGACCGGGGCUCAACCUCGGAAAGGCAGUGGAAACUGAACAGCUAGAGUAUGGUAGGGGCAAAGGGAAUUCCUGGUGUAGCGGUGAAAUGCGUAGAGAUCAGGAAGAACAUCGGUGGCGAAGGCGCUUUGCUGGACCAUAACUGACACUCAGGGACGAAAGCUAGGGGAGCGAAUGGGAUUAGAUACCCCAGUAGUCCUAGCCGUAAACGAUGGAUACUAGGUGUUGUCUGUAUCGACCCGGACAGUGCCGUAGCUAACGCGUUAAGUAUCCCGCCUGGGGAGUACGCACGCAAGUGUGAAACUCAAAGGAAUUGACGGGGGCCCGCACAAGCGGUGGAGUAUGUGGUUUAAUUCGAUGCAACGCGAAGAACCUUACCAGGACUUGACAUGUCGCGAAUCCUUUUGAAAGAAAGGAGUGCCUUAGGGAGCGCGAACACAGGUGGUGCAUGGCUGUCGUCAGCUCGUGUC
rnacentral:misc_RNA from 1 species